rnacentral:rRNA from 1 species
GUAUCAUGGCUCAGGAUGAACGCUAUCUACAGGCUUAACACAUGCAAGUCGAGGGGAAACGACAUCGAAAGCUUGCUUUUGAUGGGCGUCGACCGGCGCACGGGUGAGUAACGCGUAUCCAACCUGCCUACCACUUGGGGAUAACCUUGCGAAAGUAAGACUAAUACCCAUGACAUCCCACGAAGACAUCUGAAUGGGAUUAAAGNUUAUCGGUGAUGGAUGGGGAUGCGUCUGAUUAGG